rnacentral:rRNA from 1 species
AAGGAAUUUUGCGCAAUGGACGAAAGUCUGACGCAGCAACGCCGCGUGAUCGAUGACGCUUCUAGGAGUGUAAAGAUCUGUCGUGAGGGAAGAAAAACUUGGAUGUAAAUAAUGUUCAAAUUUGACGGUACCUUACAAGAAAGCACCGGCUAACUUCGUGCCAGCAGCCGCGGUAAUACGAGGGGUGCUAGCGUUGUCCGGAAUUACUGGGCGUAAAGGGUCCGUAGGCGUUUUGCCAAGUUGAUCGUUAAAUCCACCGGCUCAACCGGUGACCUGCGAUCAAAACUGGUAGAAUAGAAUAUGUGAGAGGAAUGUGGAAUUCCUGGUGUAGCGGUGACAUGCGUAGAUAUCAGGAGGAACACCAAUGGCGAAGGCAACAUUCUGGCACAAUAUUGACGCUGAGGGACGAAAGCGUGGGUAGCGAACAGG